AUGAAAACUGACCAGUUUUUGCUCUUUUUCUUCCAGUUCACCUCCAUGUGGCAUCUCAGGAAGAGGAAGAUAUUUUCCCAAGAGAAGGCAAAAGUUGGAUUGUCCUGGUGCCCAUCUUUGAGGUUCUGUUUGUGUGGAUGCUUGUACCUGAUUAUACACCAUCUCUUAAGAAGUCCUACCUAGGCCUACUUUUGUAUGUAUUUCUUUGAACUGAGGCAUUUCUUGACAACUUACCUCAUCAAAUUCUACCUGCCUGUCACACUAAUCUCUCAGGGCUGAAGGAUGUAUUGUUCUCUAACCAGAUCACAAUGUAUGAGCAGACUUCCUCUCCUAGAUAGGGUAAAUUGUUAGCAUAUUAAGGAGUGGUUUAACAUCAAAAAUUUACAACAUAGUAUAUGGCAAGUUAGAAGAGAAUUUUUAGGGAGACAGGUGUUCUGACACACUCAGAUAAGACUAGACUACCAGGUAGAUAUUAGCAUCCUACAUAGCUACAGAGUGAACCUUCAGUUGCUUUUAAUUUACAAUUUUCAAGGUGAGAUACGGUUUUCCAUUGAUUCAUGCAUCUGUUAGAAAAUGCAUAAAUCUUCAAAUGUUGGCAUGUUAACCAUCUUGGAUCUCAAAUACUAGGAAUCACCUGGCUUUGACAGAGUUAAAAAGAAUAGUAACGAACACUCUAAAAGAGCUAGAAAGUUCCAAAGAAGGGCAAUUUAAAUGAUUGAGAUUCUUAAACUCUGCAAGAUGAUGGAAUAGAAAUAUUGAGCCAGAUAAAAAAAAUUUGUCUGAAAGGUCAAAUGCUGAUGAACGAGAAAGAUCAAAGUUUAUACAAUGAUAAAAAUUGAAAAGAAUUAACAGGGAGAUUUGUUAAAACUCUCAGUAUUAGAAUUGUGGGACACUUAUCAUACUUACCAAUCCUAAUUCUAAAGAAUUAUGAGAGGAAGUGUGUAGCACAGUAUAGUUAAUAAAAUUUGAGAAUUUAGAUAAAUCUAGAGAUAA
rnacentral:lncRNA from 1 species